AGCGAACGCUGGCGGCAGGCUUAACACAUGCAAGUCGAACGGACCCUUCGGGGUUAGUGGCGGACGGGUGAGUAACACGUGGGAACGUGCCUUUAGGUUCGGAACAACACGGGGAAACUUGUGCUAAUACCGGAUGUGCCCUUCGGGGGAAAGAUUUAUCGCCUUUAGAGCGGCCCGCGUCUGAUUAGCUAGUUGGUGGGGUAAAGGCCUACCAAGGCGACGAUCAGUAGCUGGUCUGAGAGGAUGGCCAGCCACAUUGGGACUGAGACACGGACCAG
rnacentral:rRNA from 1 species